rnacentral:rRNA from 1 species
UACAGAGGUCCCGAGCGUUGUUCGGAUUCACUGGGCGUAAAGGGUGCGUAGGUGGUGAGGUAAGUCGGAUGUGAAAUCUCCGAGCUCAACUCGGAAAUGGCAUUGGAAACUACCUUGCUUGAGGGUUGGAGGGGGGACUGGAAUACUUGGUGUAGCAGUGAAAUGCGUAGAUAUCAAGUGGAACACCAGUGGCGAAGGCGGCUUCCUGGCCUGUUCUUGACGCUGAGGCGCGAAAGCUAGGGGAGCAAACGGG